AUGCCAUGAGUGCAGAACUUUAGGAGCAAGCAGGCCACCGCGGAACCAAGGAGCUGAGCUAUCCAGUAAAGGAUUCCACGUAGGAGAGUGAUGUUUCCACCGACGAAGGCUCCAAAUGUGACAGCGGGGUUGAUGUGACCGCCGGAGAUGUUGCAUGCCCCCGACACUGCCACAAACAGUCCAAGGCCAUGUCCCAAUGCUUCGGCAAUGAGGCCGGCCGGUGUGGUGGAACCAUCAUCGGUGAGCUUGCUGAAGGCCAUGCCGGAGCCUUCUCCGGCGAACACAAAAAUUAGGGUGCCGAAAAACUCCGCCAACGCCGCCUUGAGCGCAUCGGGUUGAUAGGUCUCCUGCGGCUGGCCGAUGGCAAUCCUAAGAAACGGCAUUGUGGAAAACUCGAUGAUAAAAGCUGAAGAGAUAGGAUGAAAAAAAAUGGAGAGCCUCA
rnacentral:lncRNA from 1 species